AAUCAACGCUGGCGGCGUGCCUCAGACAUGCAAGUCGAACGAUUAAAGCUCUCUUCGGAGAGUGCAUAGAGUGGCGCACGGGUGAGUAAUACAUCGGAACGUACCCAGUUGUGGGGGAUAACGAGUCGAAAGAUUCGCUAAUACCGCAUACGACCUGAGGGUGAAAGCGGGGGACCGUAAGGCCUCGCGCAAUUGGAGCGGCCGAUGUCUGAUUAGCUAGUUGGUGGGGUAAAGGCUCACCAAGGCGACGAUCAGUAGCUGGUCUGAGAGGAUGAUCAGCCACACUGGAACUGAGACACGGUCCAGACUCCUACGGGAGGCAGCAGUGGGGAAUUUUGGACAAUGGGGGGCAACCCUGAUCCAGCCAUGCCGCGUGCGGGAAGAAGGGCCUUCGGUUGUAACCGACUUUGUCAGGAGAACGGUACUGCGCUAAUACCGCGGG
rnacentral:rRNA from 1 species